UCAAACACAUUCAUGUGUACUACUAAUUGGGUGUUGUUUUUAAGCCCUCCACCUAAAUUUCUAAUUCAAAAUACCACAUAAAAGGCGAAUGUUGCCAAUCAAAUUCGAGGAUCACACAAACCCUAGAUGAGGUCAACAUACUUACUUGACGACGAACAAGUCUUCGGGUGUUUGAUUUUACUUUGUCAAUAGCAUCUUCCAGGAGAAGAUUUCGCUCCUUCUCAUUCGAGGAAUUCAGGAUUGUCAUCAUAUUUUCUUUCAACAUCUGAUCACCCUUUUUUGCUGACAUUUGGAAGUGGGAGGCAUCAA